CGGUGCUGAAGCAACAAAUGCCCUGCUUCCAGGAAAAGCCUCUAAGCAUCAGGUAACAUCAAAUCGUACCCCAAACCGACACAGGUGGUCAGGUAGAGAAUACCAAGGCGCUUGAGAGAACUCGGGUGAAGGAACUAGGCAAAAUGGUGCCGUAACUUCGGGAGAAGGCACGCUGACACGUAGGUGAAGUGAUUUACUCACGGAGCUGAAGUCAGUCGAAGAUACCAGCUGGCUGCAACUGUUUAUUAAAAACACAGCACUGUGCAAACACGAAAGUGGACGUAUACGGUGUGACGCCUGCCCGGUGCCGGAAGGUUAAUUGAUGGGGUCAGCGCAAGCGAAGCUCCUGAUCGAAGCCCCGGUAAACGGCGGCCGUAACUAUAACGGUCCUAAGGUAGCGAAAUUCCUUGUCGGGUAAGUUCCGACCUGCACGAAUGGCGUAAUGAUGGCCAGGCUGUCUCCACCCGAGACUCAGUGAAAUUGAACUCGCUGUGAAGAUGCAGUGUACCCGCGGCAAGACGGAAAGACCCCGUGAACCUUUACUAUAGCUUGACACUGAACAUUGAGCCUUGAUGUGUAGGAUAGGUGGGAGGCUUUGAAGUGUGGACGCCAGUCUGCAUGGAGCCGACCUUGAAAUACCACCCUUUAAUGUUUGAUGUUCUAACGUGGACCCGUAAUCCGGGUUGCGGACAGUGUCUGGUGGGUAGUUUGACUGGGGCGGUCUCCUCCUAAAGAGUAACGGAGGAGCACGAAGGUUGGCUAAUCCUGGUCGGACAUCAGGAGGUUAGUGCAAUGGCAUAAGCCAGCUUGACUGCGAGCGUGACGGCGCGAGCAGGUGCGAAAGCAGGUCAUAGUGAUCCGGUGGUUCUGAAUGGAAGGGCCAUCGCUCAACGGAUAAAAGGUACUCCGGGGAUAACAGGCUGAUACCGCCCAAGAGUUCAUAUCGACGGCGGUGUUUGGCACCUCGAUGUCGGCUCAUCACAUCCUGGGGCUGAAGUAGGUCCCAAGGGUAUGGCUGUUCGCCAUUUAAAGUGGUACGCGAGCUGGGUUUAGAACGUCGUGAGACAGUUCGGUCCCUAUCUGCCGUGGGCGCUGGAGAACUGAGGGGGGCUGCUCCUAGUACGAGAGGACCGGAGUGGACGCAUCACUGGUGUUCGGGUUGUCAUGCCAAUGGCACUGCCCGGUAGCUAAAUGCGGAAGAGAUAAGUGCUGAAAGCAUCUAAGCACGAAACUUGCCCCGAGAUGAGUUCUCCCUGAGACUUAGAGUCUCCUGAAGGAACGUUGAAGACGACGACGUUGAUAGGCCGGGUGUGUAAGCGCAGCGAUGCGUUGAGCUAACCGGUACUAAUGAACCGUGAGGCUUAACCUUACAACGCCGAAG
rnacentral:rRNA from 1 species